rnacentral:tRNA from 1 species
CAUCAGGUGGCUGAAAGUUAGUAAUGGUCUCUUAAACCAAUUUAUAGUAGAAUAACGCCUACUCCUGAUGA